rnacentral:lncRNA from 1 species
GCUACUCUGAAGAUGGGGACUCAUCAAUCACUCUAUUGGUACGAGCUAAUUGGUCAGCAAAUUCAUCAUUCACAAAGACUGUCUAAAGGUAGCCCAUCUACUACUAUUCUCUAAUAUAGUCGUGGAAUAUAAGAGGACCACAAGAGGAGCUCCAGUAUGUACUCAUUAACUGCUAUACAUCAAAUAUGUUUAUGUAAGUGUCUAACUAAUAUAGGGGCAGGUCAACUCACUAAAAGAGGCAAUCAAAUCCCUUGGAGCAAAGAGAGAUGUUGAACUGAGAUUUUAUAGCCACAUAGACUAGGAUUUUAGAAAUGUUAGCUAUUUUAUUC